rnacentral:rRNA from 1 species
AUUGAACGCUGGCGGCAUGCUUUACACAUGCAAGUCGAACGGUAACAGGCCGCAAGGUGCUGACGAGUGGCGAACGGGUGCGUAAUGCAUCGGAACGUGCCCAGUCGUGGGGGAUAACUACUCGAAAGAGUAGCUAAUACCGCAUACGAUCUAUGGAUGAAAGCGGGGGACCGUAAGGCCUCGCGCGAUUGGAGCGGCCGAUGUCAGAUUAGGUAGUUGGUGGGGUAAAGGCUCACCAAGCCAACGAUAUGUAGCUGGUCUGAGAGGACGACCAGCCACACUGGGACGGAGACACGGCCCAGACUCCUACGGGAGGCAGCAGUGGGGAAUUUUGGACAAUGGGCGCAAGCCUGAUCCAGCAAUGCCGCGUGCAGGAAGAAGGCCUUCGGAUUGUAAACUGCUUUUGUACGGAACGAAACGGCUCUGGUUAAUACCCGGGGCUAAUGACGGUACCGUAAGAAUAAGCACCGGCUAACUACGUG